CAAUGGCGUCUUGUAAAGUUGUUGCAGGUAAAAAAUUCGUAGUUGGAUUUCUGUUGCUGAAGAACCUAUCUGCACUUGACUGCACGGCGCCGUAUUUGGGAUAUUUACCUUGAGGAAAGUAGCGUGUUGUUUCAAGCAAACGCGCCUUUUGACUUGAGUACAUUAGCAUGGAAUAACACGACCGGGCCUCAGUUCUAUUUUGAUUAUUUUGUCGGUUUCUAGAGCUGGGGUAAUGAUUGAUAAGGAUAGCUGGGGGCAUUCGUAUUCAAAAGUCAGAAAUGAAAUUCUUGGAAGUGAAGGACGGACGGUACUGCGAAGGCAUUUGCCAAGGAUGCUUUCAUUGA
rnacentral:rRNA from 1 species